AUGUUCACUUUGGCAGCACGUAUGUUAAAAUUGGAGUGAUACAAAGAUUAGCAUGACCCCUGCACAAGGAUGACACACACUUUUAUGAAGUGUUUCAUAUUUUU
ensembl:snRNA U6 U6 spliceosomal RNA